rnacentral:rRNA from 1 species
GACGAACGCUGGCGGCGCGCUUAACACAUGCAAGUUGAACGGUGAACCGGGCUUCGGCCCGGGGAUCAGUGGCGAACGGGUGCGUAACACGUGGGCAACCUGCCCCUCACUCUGGGAUAACCCCGGGAAACCGGAGCUAAUACCGGAUACUCCGACCGGUCCGCAUGGUCCGAUCGGGAAAGGUCCGCCGGUGAGGGAUGGGCCCGCGGCCUAUCAGCUUGUUGGUGAGGUAACGGCUCACCAAGGCGACGACGGGUAGCUGGUCUGAGAGGACGACCAGCCACACUGGGACUGAGGUACGGCCCAGACUCCUACGGGAGGCAGCAGUGGGGAAUCUUGCGCAAUGGGCGAAAGCCUGACGCAGCGACGCCGCGUGGGGGACGAAGGCCCUCGGGUUGUAAACCCCUUUCGGCAGGGACGAAGCGAUCGUGACGGUACCUGCAGAAGAAGCCUCGGCUAACUACGUGCCAGCCGCCGCGGUACAC